rnacentral:rRNA from 1 species
AAGCGGAGGAAAAGAAACUAACUAGGAUUCCCUUAGUAACGGCGAGUGAACCGGGAUGAGCUCAAAUUUGAAAUCUGGCGUCUUUCAGGCGUCCGAGUUGUAAUCUAUAGAGGCGUUUUCCGCGCCGGACCGCGUCCAAGUCUCUUGGAAUAGAGUAUCAAAGAGGGUGACAAUCCCGUACUUGACGCGACAACCGGUGCUCUGUGAUACGUUCUCAAUGAGUCGAGUUGUUUGGGAAUGCAGCUCUAAAUGGGUGGUAAAUUCCAUCUAAGGCUAAAUAUUGGCGAGAGACCGAUAGCGAACAAGUACCGUGAGGGAAAGAUGAAAAGCACUUUGGAAAGAGAGUUAAACAGCACGUGAAAUUGUUAAAAGGGAAACGAUUGAAGUCAGUCGUGUGGGAAGUAUUCAGCCGUCUCUGGCGGUGUAUUUGCUUCUCACGGGUCAACAUCAGUUUGAUCCGGUAGAAAAAGGCGGGAAGAAGGUGGCACCCUCGGGUGUGUUAUAGCUUCCUGUCAUAUGUGCCGGACCAGACUGAGGAACGCAGCUUGCAGCAAUGCCGGGGUUCGCCCACGUACAAGCUUAGGAUG